rnacentral:rRNA from 1 species
UUCCAUGCAGUCGAGCGAGGCGGGGAGCAAUCCCCAGUCGAGCGGCGAACGGGUGAGUAACGCGUGGAUGACCUGCCUUGAGGUGGGGGAUAACUCGGGGAAACUCGAGCUAAUACCGCAUAGGAUCGUGAGAUCAAAGGGGCGCAAGUCCCGCCACAAGAGGGGUCCGCGUACGAUUAGCUAGUUGGUAGGGUAAUGGCCUACCAAGGCGACGAUCGUUAGCCGGCCUGAGAGGGUGAUCGGCCACACUGGAACUGAGACACGGUCCAGACUCCUACGGGAGGCAGCAGUGGGGAAUUUUGCGCAAUGGGCGAAAGCCUGACGCAGCAACGCCGCGUGGAGGAUGAAGGUCCUUGGAUCGUAAACUCCUGUCAGCAGGGAAAAAGGCUCAUGGCCACACCGUGAGAUUGAUUGUACCUGCAGAGGAAGCCCCGGCUAACUCUGUGCCAGCAGCCGCGGUAAUACAGAGGCCUCAAGCGUUGUUCGGAAUCACUGGGCGUAAAGGGUGCGUAGGCGGCGCGGAAAGUCAGGGGUGAAAUCCCGGAGCUCAACUCCGGAACUGCCUUUGAUACUCCCGCGCUUGAGAACUGGAGGGGACAUCGGAAUUCACGGUGGAGCAGUGAAAU